GUAUACAAUGAUGUAAUAGACUUUAGUCUAGUGAUUAAGAGCCAUGGGUGCAAAGUGAAUUACUUGAUAGUAGUGCUAUAAUUAACCGGCUAGAACUCGCUCUUACUGAGUGAGGAAAUCCGUCUUGAUAAAUCUACUGCAUACAUUCAACGGUUUCUGUUGAAUUAUCAGUUAUAAAAUACGUGAUUGAUAAUGAAUACGGACUAUAUGUAGUUACUAUGUAAACGUAGUAUAACGCGAUGUAAUACGCAAGGUUCGUUAAAAUCACUGAUUGUUUGUCUACGAUUUUGUUAAAACUUCGAAUGCCAGGAAUUUUUUCAAAAAGUACUACGACAUAUUAACCGAUUUUUAGCAAGAUGCAUUAUGAUUGCACGUUUCAAAGAUAUAUUAUGUAUUAGGUAAAGAAAAACGCGUUUUUACUUUCUGGUAAUAAAUAUAGCGAUUAUUUUAAAUAGUAAUAAAAAACAUUGACGCAAAUAAGGCAUAAUCAUUCCCUAUACUAUCGACGGUUUAAUUACUUCUUCUCUUCAAAUUUUUAUUAAUAAUUUUUGUACAUAUGUUCGGGUUAUUAUGUUAUAUAUAUAUAUAUGUUAUAUUAUACUAAUAUGACUAUUAACCAAUAAAAGUAACUGAUAUAUUUAAUUGAAAUAUGAUACACAGUAAGAUGCACGUGACUCUGACGCACUAUUUUUUAUCGGGUGACGUGUUCGUCUUAAUUCAUGAAUUAAAGUAAUUCAAAUAAAAAAGUAAGAGCAAAUAGAAAAUAUGAAAUCAUUACAUGUAAUUGACACUUCUCUAAUCACAGAGUUACUCGCCUUUCAAGUAUCAAAAAAAUAAUUUACGUUAUGCUAUUCACUAUGAGACCUUGACAGUCCCCUAAAACACGUGGAAUUACAUGCAUCGAGAUAUAAUAUAUGCGAAAUAUCUUAUGAAAAUGGAGAAACUGAUUGGAUUGGAUGAAACUAGUUAACACUAGUUGAAUCUUAUGCUGUUCUUUUUCUCGAAGCAAACGGAGUCAUAACAUUUCCAUAAUUUUUAUAAAUAUUAAAGUACAUGUAUAUUACGAUAAUGCAAAUGUAGAGACCGAUGUCGUAAAGCUACGUUUUAAAAUAGCACCCGAAUCUCGUGCCAAAUGAUUUGGAAUGUCAUCAGUAUUUGUAUUGUAACUGUACUCAUUAUACAAUACAGAUAUACAUCACAAUAUUAUGAGUGGGAAAAAAAAAAUAUUCACUAACUUUCUUUUAUUUCAAUAUGGAUGAAUGAAUGAAAUCUCGUAAACAAUCCAUUCUUCAGUUACAUAAAUCGACCUCAACGUAUCACCACCUUCU